GACGGAGGGUGCAAGCGUUGUUCGGAAUUACUGGGCGUAAAGGGCGCGUAGGCGGUCCGCUAAGUUCGGUGUGAAAGCCCCUGGCUCAACUGGGGAACGGCGCUGGAAACUGGCGGACUCGAGUACCGGAGAGGAGAGUGGAAUUCCUGGUGUAGCGGUGAAAUGCGUAGAUAUCAGGAGGAACACCGGUGGCGAAGGCGGCUCUCUGGACGGAUACUGACGCUGAGGCGCGAAAGCGUGGGGAUCAAACAGG
rnacentral:rRNA from 1 species